CCGGGAUCGGCUCCGCCGUAGCACGAUAUUGUCCGCUUUGGGCCCCCCUCUCUGCCCUCACGGUUUUGUUUCUGGGAGCUCACGAGCAACUUCCCAGUGGGUCACCCAUCCUGGGAUUGCUCUAGCCCCCAACUCGCUUAACUUCGGAGGAUGGGAUUGCUCUAGCCCCCAACUCGCUUAACUUCGGAGUUCCUACGACUCCGAAGCCAGUGAGCUCCCAAAAGGCCUCGUGCUAGAUGGAUGCGGGUGCGCACAUAUAAGGC
rnacentral:lncRNA from 1 species